rnacentral:rRNA from 1 species
UGGUGGAGUGAUUUGUCUGGUUAAUUCCGUUAACGAACGAGACCUUGACCUGCUAACUAGUCACGGCAAGGGUUCAUUCCUUGCUGGCCGACUUCUUAGAGGGACAAUCUGUGUAUCCAGCAGAUGGAAGUUCGAGGCAAUAACA